UACAGAGGGGGCAAGCGUUGUUCGGAAUUACUGGGCGUAAAGGGCGCGUAGGCGGCCUGUUAAGUCGAACGUGAAAUCCCCGGGCUCAACCCGGGAACUGCGUCCGAAACUGGCAGGCUUGAAUUCGGGAGAGGGAUGCGGAAUUCCAGGUGUAGCGGUGAAAUGCGUAGAUAUCUGGAGGAACAUCGGUGGCGAAGGCGGCAUCCUGGACCGAUAUUGACGCUGAGGCGCGAAAACCAGGGGAGCAAACGGG
rnacentral:rRNA from 1 species